rnacentral:rRNA from 1 species
AAAUGAAUUGACGGGAGCCCGCACAAGCAGUGGAGUAUGUGGUUUAAUUCGACGCAACGCGAAGAACCUUACCGGAGCUUGACAUCCUGCUGACAGCCAAGUAAUGUUGGCCUUCCUUCGGGACAGCAGUGACAGGUGGUGCAUGGUUGUCGUCAGCUCGUGUCGUGAGAUGUUGGGUUAAGUCCCGCAACGAGCGCAACCCUUACGGUCAGUUGCUACGCAAGAGCACUCUGGCUGGACUGCCGUUGACAAAACGGAGGAAGGUGGGGACGACGUCAAAUCAUCAUGCCCCUUACGUUCCGGGCUACACACGUACUACAAUGGCGCAAACAAAGGGUUGCUAAGCCGCGAGGUGGAGCGAAUCCCAUAAAAGGCGUCCCAGUUCGGAUUGCAGGCUGCAACUCGCCUGCAUGAAGUUGGAAUUGCUAGUAAUCGUGGAUCAGCAUGCCACGGUGAAUACGUUCCCGGGCUUUGCACACACCGCCCGU